AAAGGCUGACCCUGGAGACCUGUAUCAAGAAUUUGCACAAGAGGAGGAGAUAGAAGCUGGAAGCUUUCUGAAUGUGCUGCCCGCAGACUUAAGGCUUCUUCAGAGACUCAAGAUGACUUCCCAGGAGAGAUGCUUUCUGGAGGGGUUGUGCUGAAGACGGAGCACUGCAGCCUCUAACUGGGACAGCUCCUGCUGGUCUGGAGCUGAGACCAACUUCUCUCCCUUCCUUUUCCCUUGGAGAUGUUGCAGAGAUUUAAUCUGACCUCUUCCUCCUCACCUGAAGCCUGCCGUGGCGAUGAUCCCACAGCCAGAUCCGACCACCAAAGAGAAGAGAAUUGCGUGUUUGAAGCUGGGCCGUCGUUGUAACUGAACUGGAAUUUACUCCCUGCUUGCGCUCCUGGAACGAGUGCCAUUCCUCUUCUUGUCUGUCUGUGUUCUGAGCCGCUCCUCCCUGAUCUUGUUUGGAAUCCCUGGGCUUUCCACACUGAAUUUGCCCAUGGCUUUCCUGAUGAAGAAGAAGAAAUUCAAGUUUCAGACAAGUUUCACUCUAGAAGAGCUGACUGCUGUCCCCUUUGUGAAUGGGGUUCUGUUCUGCAAAAUCAGGCUGCUAGAUGGAGGAGACUUUGCUAGCCUAUCUACCAGAGAGGAAGUUCAGGAAAACUGUGUCCGCUGGAAAAAGAAGUUCACCUUUGUUUGUAAAAUGAGUGCCAACCCAGCCACAGGACUCCUGGACCCCUGCAUCUGCCGAGUAUCUGUCCGUAAGGAGCUGAAGGGCGGAAAAACCUACUCAAAGCUGGGCUUUGCUGAUCUAAAUCUGGCAGAAUUUGCAGGCUCUGGAUCCACUGUCCGUUGCUGCUUGCUGGAAGGAUACGAUACUAAGAACACCCGACAGGACAACUCCAUCCUAAAGGUCACAAUCGGAAUGUCCCUGCUCUCAGGGGACCCCUGCUUCAAAACGCCUCCUUCCACUGCCAAAUCCAUCACCAUACCGGGACAGGACUCUACCCUGCAGCUGACCUGUAAGGGUGAGGGAACUACAAGCAGCAGCAGUUCAGCCACGAUUGGCUCUCUGCGUCAGACCAAGCCAAGAACUGCCAUUCUCAGCUCGGGUGUCCCAGAAGAACCGGAUCAGAACCUGUCCAGCCCAGAGGAAGUCUUCCACUCGGGGCACUCACGAAACUCCAGCUACGCCAGCCAGCAGUCCAAGAUCUCCGGUUACAGCACAGAGCACUCCCGUUCUUCUAGUAUGUCUGACUUGACCCAUCGCCGGAAUACCUCCACCAGCAGCAGUGCAUCCGGUGGGCUGAGUAUGACGGUGGAGUGUCCUGAGGGAGAGCGGGACCACAAACUAGAGAAGCCACCUCGCCCCCCGAGACCAGCCCUUCUGCUGGAUAGACCCUCCCGGAGGAAAAAGGAUUCAGUGGAGAGUCACCCAACCCGAGUGGAUGACACCAGGAUCGAUGCUGAUGAUAUAGUAGAGAAAAUAAUGCAGAGUCAGGACUUCACAGAUGUCAGCAAUACUGAAGACAGUAACCUGAGGUUGUUUGUGAGCAGAGACGGAACAACUACAUUGAGUGGUAUUCAGCUGGGAAACAGGGUCUCAUCUGGAGUUUACGAGCCAGUGGUGAUUGAAACCCACUAAAUGUGAAGAACAGGGUAGAGCUGCUGGAAACAGGUCCCCUACCCCGUCCGCUGCCACAUGGAUGCCAACCUUUACCUCUCUUCAUGCAGCAUUCCAGAAGGGAUUUCUCCACACCCCUCCCUGUACGUUUGCACUGCAGAACUACUCCGAGACCACUCCAGAUCAUGCACUUUCCCUGCAUUGGUAUUACCCUUCUCUGCUUCCCGGUUCUUCCAGUGCCUGCCUUCCCCCUGUUUCUGACCAGACGCAAGGUGUCUGUUGGGCUUAUCCUUAAUCCUAGAGGAUGUCGCUCAUCUGCAUCCCUAACUCCAUCCAUUCACUUGCAACAGGGGACUUCUCAGCUUCUUUCUUCCCAAAACAUUGGGUUAUACCACUGUGAACUCUUCAAACCACUGGGGGAGGGGGAAACCAUUCUAACCAAACCGAGAGCUGCUUGUUGGUGACACGGUGAAAUGGCCACUUGCAGGAUGCUUUAUCCCAUUGACUCUGCAAGGGAACAUCACCUUCCAAGGCAACGGUUUUACUGAACAAGGAAGGGAACUGCCCUUCUUGGACUGUGAAAAGAAUCUGGUUAUCCGAUAGCCCUCCCCUGGGCCAGAGCAGGAUGCAGUUGACUACAGUGGUCUCUCCGUUGUGGUGGUGAUUAACAAUUGCCUCUCUUGGCCUGGGCCAGUGAGGGUAUUGGUGUUCGUUGGCCUUUCUUGCUCUGUCAGCAGGGAUCUAUGCCUCAGCUGGUUCCUUUUGGGGCUGGGGAGAAGCCACUGUUUCUGCCUUCAAGGUUGAAUGGGUGUUUGCUGUGUUAGCCACAGCAGCCGUUCUUACCUGCUCCAUGGCAAGUGAACUCUUCUGACAAGGCUUCCAACUGUUUUCUGAUUGAUCUUUCAAUUGCUCUUUGGGUUUGGUUUCCAUGGUUGUUUGACACUUUAGCUGCCUCUUGUCCUUGCAGCGUGUGGCAGAGAUGUCAGUCCCUUUCAGCUCCCACUUAUAGAUUCUCCUGGCAGCUGAGUUGCAAACGAGGAUCUAUGCAGACUCCAGCCGUGGGCCGUCAGCAGGCUGUGCUUGCAGCCCUUCCUGUACAGAGACUCUCAGCCGAUAAGCUAUUUCUGUGUAGAGCCCUUUCCUCUUUUGCCAGUGUACUGUAGUAGCACUCAACGGCCAUGCACUUGGAGCAAUGGCACACUCCCAGGCAUGGCUGGGAACGUGCCCUCCUCUGACACACGUGUGCAUCACACUCGCACAGGCACACACUUGUCCCAUUCAGCAAGGAAAGACUUGUAACUGAUCACAUUGUUGUUCAAAUUCUUAGUUAUUGUAAAGCCUUUUUUUAAAAGGAGAAAAAAAAAAAGGAUUAAUUGUGGUCUCUGUGGCCAGAAUGCAUGCAGAUGAGCUACUGGAAAAGGGAAUUUGGCAGAAUGAGAAACAAGGAAUGAAAGGGCCUUGAUUUAUAUUUUUUUUUUUCGCCCUGCUAGCUAAGGAUGGCUGCAUGCAGAGGGUGCUAGGCAAUGUGGCAAAGCUAUACAGCUGCUUACUCUUUCGACAGUUUCUCUCUUCAAGAGGUUUCUUUCUGUAUUUGGACAGACCACAGAUAGGAUACGGAUCUUUUUCACCCUUUCCCUUCAAUGGGAAUUAAAUUUGGAUUAGGGUAAGAAGGGGUACAGACAACACCUUGGCUUGGUUUAACGUAGGGAAAAGUAUUGGAUCUUUUGAGUCUGUCUAGAACAAAAAACUCUUUCACACUUGCUGGUGUUUUUUAAUGGUGAUCUCUUCUUUGUUCAGUCUGGGUAGGUUUGGCACUUGCUACCAGGCCGGUGAGCAUCCUGCCCUGCUCCUGGGGUGAUGCAUGUCUGCAGGAAGGGGAGAACCACUUGCUUUUCUCUCUCCCUGGGGCUCUGCCAGAAGCCAGGCCUGUCCUGACCCUCUGCUCAGGUCAUGUGAGGGCAGAAGCAGGCUCAGGUGUUCCUGCCUUGUCUGCAGAUGGCCAUGCGGAGCUGAGGGUCAGGCUGCUCCCCAGCUCCUGCUGCUCCCCAGGGGCCAGCGAAGCCCCUUGGAAAAUCGGGUCCAACGAGCACUUGAAAGGAGCCAACACAAGCCAGGAAAGAGGCCAAAACCCAGCUUUCUUCUGCUGCUUUGCUUCUGUUCCCAUGAAAAACAAGGGUAGUCACUGUCAGAGCAGUUGGGAACCCAGGGCUUUCUUCUGCUCCCAUUGGCAAGAAUUGGCUGCUCCAAGGCGCUGGCAGCUCAGCAUGUCACGGAAUCCCCAGUGGGACAGAGGGAGGAAUCUUCCCAGCAAAAUAAGAGGAGAAGCAGUUGAGCUUUUCACAAAGCUGGUCUUAUCUUCCCAGGCUGGCAGAGGCAUAACCUGCUCCAUCGCAUAGCUGUGGCCAACCUGGGCAUGUCCCUGGCUUCUCUUCCAGCGGCUUGGCACAUCACUGCUUGCGUUUUUGAUAACUGUGUCUCAUAGGGUAUCUCUUCCUUGUCCCUACAUUAUGAUUGACUCCACAGAUCCUGGUCUUUACGUAGCUUUUUAGCUCUCCUACCCCUUGUUUUGAAUAAGAAAGCAGCCCUAGUCAUUCAGCCUGGUGCAGCACAGCCAGGGCUGGAGCACCCAGAGCAGACCCGGAGGGAGGAAGGAGCAGUCUGUUCCUAUUUCUAGAUCCCACACAGAGCUCCCGCUGCGCGUCCAUCACGAGCAAUGCCCAGCGGUCCUUGGCCGGUGAUGGACGUACGAGGCGGUGGUGAUGGAAGUGGGGUUGCUUGUCCUGCAGACUCGCUGCCAUCUCCCGGGAAGCUGCGUCUCGUGAGCACUUUUUUCCUUGUGGCAUCGCUGCCAUCUGUUUGUUGUUGGACUUUGAACAUUUAAGAAGUGAACCAGUUUCCAGACCCAAACCGCUGGCUAGUUUCCUUUGGGUUUUUUUUUUUGUCAUGAAGUUUAUUGAAUUUUGUUUUUAUAAACCCAGCAGGCUGGUGGUUUUUUUUUUUUUUUUGACUGCAUUAUUGUUUCAUUGAUAUUUUAUUCCUGGGGGGCUGAGGGGGGGAUGUUCUUCCCCACAUUGUUCCCCUUCUCAGGGGAUUCAGAGGUGGCUUAAACAAGUAAAAGGACCUUAUUGGCAAGACUCUGCAUCCCCUGGGUCUCUGAUGCUGGUGAGCUGGGCUGCUCACGCCUGGCUGGCCCUGGAGAGCAGAGCUGGUUCUCUGCUCACAUCUCGGGGCCAGGCGAAACGUGUGGGCUCUGCUUUCCCAGUUUCUGGGCCUUUUAUUGGUGGAAGACCAUUGCAAGGAGUUGGGAAAUUCAAUGUAACUUUUUUUACUAACUUUUUUUUUUUAAAACCGAUAUAAACUGAGUGUAUGUCCAAAAGAAUAGGUUUAGUUGUGACUUGGUGAAGGAGAUGGGUUUCAGUUGGAAAUUGUGAUGGAAAAAGGGGGAGAAGGAUGUUGCUCCUCCAUCUUUUUUUGUAUGGUUGGCACUUUAAAUGGGGGCCUUUGUGCUGUCCUGACCCUCGGUUCGAUGGGCAGCAGGCAUGUGAUCUCUCCCCCCCUCGUUGCCACAUCACUUUGCCCCCUGCAGAAAGUUAAUAGGCCCUUUUAAAUGUUUGCUUCGGUUUUUAGAGGGUUCCAAACCAGGCCAAGACCUGAAGAAUACGUAUUUCAUUCUCAUCUUAAUAGGAGGGGUUGACUUUUUAUUUAUUUUGUCGUUGCUGUUUCUUUUUAAACUGGUGGCUGUGCAGCUGGACUCUGCACGCGCUGUUGUGAACCUCUGGGAAAAACCUCACUCCAGGUACGCUAGAGCACCUAGGUUAAACACCCCUCCUGGAGAGGGGUCGCCUCGCUCCCCUCCUCGCUGCCUUACCCGGGAGCUGCAAAUUCACCCUCCGCCCCUCCUGCCCUGUCCCCUGCCACCCUACCUAGUCUCUAGCUGAGUUCUUGCUCUGGUGACUGAGCCCUGUGGACAAGGCUGGUCCCCAGGAGCAAGUUCCUACAAACACUGCCUGGUUGCAGGUGUUUGUCCUUGAAAAGCCACUUCCUUGCUGGGGGAGGGGGGGAAUUGAUGAGGGCAAAAUUCCCCCACCACCACCACUUCCCUCCCGAGAGCUUGUGUCGUCCAUCAGCCCACCCACACCAUCUGAGCCUGAUGCCCUCCGCAGCUCUGUGUUGCAUUGCCCCUGCCCCAUCGGGAGGGAGCAGAUGUGGAAACCUGGGAAAUAAAAAAAAGGAAUUUGGAUGAAGCUGUGAGGGAGAGGUGUGGCUGAGCCUCAUAAAUUGCCUCAAACACAAGGAAUAACGGUAGAGCCCGUAUUUUUGUGGGGGGAGGGAGGGGAAGGGGAGAUCGUGUUUUAUUUUCUUGAAAGUUAAUUGAGCUUGGUGAUCUUCAGAUGAGGCACGCACUUGAUUUAUAUCAGAUUCUAUAGAGAGAUUGCUGAUAUUUUUGGAAAGGGAAUGGGUCUAUGCAAACUUCCAAAAUUGCUUGAAAAAGAGUUUAACAUUUUUUUACUUUGAAAUCUAAAGAUAAAUCUAACUUUUUUCUUAAAGCAGAAGUGCGUUUAGAAAGAGAAGCUACUUCCACUGCUCUAUUUUGAUGAUGAUUCUUGGAAAGUUUGGGCUGGAGGGAAUGACUAUUUUUCACCAUUUUUAUCUUGCUCCUCUAGUUUUUUGUUUCUUUUUCUAACGGAAUGCUGUGCCGUCUUUGAUUCAACAGAUCGUGUUUGUAUUUUCUGUAUCUGGUUCCUAACGUAGAGAAAUAACAAAUAUAUGAGGAAAUCAAUAUAAUGUCAAAUGUUGUUAUGGUUUGGGGGAAAAAUAAAGG